rnacentral:rRNA from 1 species
GCUCAAAGCCUAGCCCUACCAACUCAAAUGAGAUAACCCAGCCAAAUAAGAUAGAACAAAACAUUCUUUUAACUAAGUAAAGGCGAUUAAAAAGUUUAUGGGAGCCCUAUUAGUACCGCAAGGGAAAAGUGAAAUAAAAAUGAAAUAAGUCUAAAGCGUCACAAAGUAGAGAUUAGCCCUCGUACCUUUUGCAUCAUGGUCACACUAGUAUAAUCAAGCAAAACGAACUUUAAGUUUGACACCCCGAAACUAGACGAGCUACUUCAAAGCAGCCUUCCUGGGCCAACCCCUCUCUGUGGCAAAAGAGUGGGAAGACUUUCAAGUAGAGGUGAUAAACCUACCGAGCCUAGAGAUAGCUGGUUAUUCAGGAAAGGGAUAUUAGUCCAACCUUAAACCCCCACUAAAAUACAAAAUAUACAAAAUAUACCAACAGGUUUAAGAUUCAUUCAAAUAAGGUUCAGCCUAUUUGAAACAGGGUACAACCUACGAUAUCGGGUAAUGUUCCAACCAAUGUGAUCAAGUAGGCCUAAGAGCAGCCACCUUCUAAAAAGCGUCACAGCAUCGUCACACCUUAUUAUUAAUAUCUAUACAAAUCCAAAACCCAUCACCCAUACUGAAUAACUCCAUACCAAUAUGGAAAACUUUAUGUUUGAACUAGUAACAAGAAUAAUUAUUCUCCUAUAAACGUAAGUGUGAGCCGGAGUGAACCACUCACCGGCACUUAUCGCCAAUGAGCUAGAAGUAGUAACCUCACAAGAAAACCCUACUUCUUCACAGCGUCAACCUUACACUAGAACUUUUCUGGAAAGAUUAAAAAAGGGGGAAGGAACUCGGCAAAUAUUGACCUCGCCUGUUUACCAAAAACAUCGCCUUCUGACAACUAAUAGAAGGUCCCGCCUGCCCAGUGACAAACUUAAACGGCCGCGGUACUUUAACCGUGCAAAGGUAGCACAAUCACUUGUUCUUUAAAUAAGGACUAGUAUGAAUGGCAUCACGAGGGUCACACUGUCUCCCCCCUUUAAUCAGUGAAACUAAUCUCCCCGUGAAGAAGCGGGGAUGAGCCUAUAAGACGAGAAGACCCCAUGGAGCUUUAAACCAAGUACCACUUGCAUUAUGUAACACCACUUAAAUUCAGCAAAUCUGUCUACCAGUUUUUGGUUGGGGUGACCGCGGAGAAAAACAAAACCUCCACGACGAAAGGAGCCAGCCUCCUAAUCAAAGAGCUACCACUCGCAGAAUCAAAACAUUGACCUAAAUUGACCCAAUAUAUUUGAACAACGAACCAAGUUACCCUGGGGAUAACAGCGCAAUCCAUUUCAAGAGCCCCUAUCGACAAAUGGGUUUACGACCUCGAUGUUGGAUCAGGGUAUCCCAGUGGUGCAGCCGCUACUAAAGGUUCGUUUGUUCAACGAUUAAAACCCU